AGGAAUAUGGUGCUUGUAUCAGUCGGUCUCCAAAACCGAAGGUCGCGGGUUCGAUCCCUGCCGCUCCUGCCA
rnacentral:tRNA from 1 species